AUUUUCUUGCUGUUCUGUUCAAGCCUUGCCUGGCUUUGUUGAGAUCCUUUUGGUCUGUGUUUAGGGCAGUAUUUUGGGAUUCUUACCAGGGCGGAUCAGCGAUGGAGAGACUUGUCACCAUAUGUCUCCUCUUGGCCUGCAGUUGCUCUGCCACUCCACAAGAUCUCUGGUUCAAGGCGUUUACCUUUGAGGGUACUUACAACAGUUACGUCAGAGUGGACCCCACAACAAAUGGGAGUAUAACUGUGGCCAGUGUCUGUCUGAGAUUUUUCUCAGACAUUGUUAACGAUUGGCAAACCUUAUUCUCUCUGGCUACUUCCACAUACUACAACGGUUUUGUCCUUUCCAAUCUGGCACAGAAUAGAUACUCAUUCUCCAUCGGUGACCAAGAUAUGUACUUUUGGGGGUUGCCAACUGAACUGAAUAGUUGGAACUCUGUCUGUGCUACAUGGGACUCUACCACAGGCCUGUCCCAGGUCUGGGUUAAUGGCAAACCAGGCUCAAGGAAGUUCUGCUUCAAGGGCGGCAGUCUCACUGGUACGCCAAUCGUCAUUCUUGGGCGUAACCAAAACAAGUAUGUAGUUAGGUACAACGCCUUCAGCGGACAGCUGACAGACGUGCACAUGUGGGACCGUGUGAUUUCCCCGUGCGAGAUCAAUAGCUACUCUCACAACAAGCCAUUUCAGGGUGGAAAUCUAAUCAACUGGCGAGCACUCAACUACACCACCUACGGAAAUGUUGAGGAAGAGAGUCCGAUAAGUCGGCACUGUAUGUAUGAAUGAAUGAAUGAAUUGAUUAAAACACAAAUGUAAUUUUAGCAAUUGUAAAUGGGUCAAGAUAAAGAUAAUUCUUAAUGAAGUGUAGUUACUUCUGCAUCGGACUCUCUUCAGGGGUGCAUUUCUCGAAACCAACGUUGCUUACAUUAGCUACUUUGUUGUUUUCAAUACAUUUUCCCAUUGGCAACUACCAAAGUUGUUAACAGGCUAACAACUUCUCUUUUGAGAAAUGCACCCCAGAUUAGAAUUCUCUUUAGAAUUUAGGUCCUGCCGUGGCCAACCGGUGGGGCACUCACCUGCCAUGCGGCUGACCCAGGUUCGAUUCCCGGCCCGGGUCCUCUGCCGAUCCCUCCCCGUCUUUCUCCCGGUUCGCUUCCUGGCCAUCUGUCACACUGUCCUAUCGGAUGGGGUCGAAAAAGAUCCAUUUUUUAAAAAUCUUUAGAAUUCUCUUUAGAAUUUCAGGUCUCUAAGGGACUUUAAAAAAAGAUGAUCCAAUUGUAUUUAUGACCAUGACAUACUGGGUACAUUCACUAGGUCAUGUUGUGUUGAUGUAGGCCUAGAUGCAUAUUUGUAGGGCAAUAUUUUAUGCAGUUUCAUCAUGUAUCAACAUGUAUCAUUAUCAUUACCUAUACUGUGCAUACCUAACCUUAACCAACGGAUACAGUGCACGUACUGUUGUUGUCAUUGUAUCUACAUCUACAUGUAAUACUGUAUCACACAGGCUACUAAUACUGU